GCCGUCGCGGGGAGCGCGCAUAAGGCGCGCACUCGGGCUCGCCGGGACUCGCGCUCUCCCGGGACUGGCUCCCCUCUCUGCAAGCCGGGACUUGCCGCCGGUGUCCCUGAGGGCUCGCAGCUGUAACUCGAACACGCUGGAACCGACUCCGGCGAGCCGGCUGCCUUCUCGAGACGUUCCUCCUUGCCCGGGCCGCCCGCGGGCCAGGUGAUCACCCCGAGUGUGGAGCAGGCCCGGGGGAGCUUGCGUAUGCCUUGAUCCAACCAGGUCACCCAGGGUUUUAUUUCAGGUCAUUUGGUCAUCCUCGGCCUCCAGGUAGGAUCAGGAAGCCACUCCUCACCUUUGCCCGGACCUCUUCUGUGUUCACGUAGAGUGGACUUUUAAAAGCCUGACCCAAGUGCCUCACGAUGCUUAGGGGGAAGCCGCUGGGGAGCAGGACUUUGCUUUGAGGGGAGGGAGUAGUCAAGGUAAAGGAACCUCUGCUCCGAGUGCCAAUAAAAUCCCCACAAGAUUAGCUGGGAGCAUAUUUAUUGCUCAUCUGAGCUAGAAUUACCUUGACUGACACCAAUUUCC
rnacentral:lncRNA from 1 species